AACACCUUGGACUACGGUCUUGCCAUAGAUCACCUGAAACAGCUACGUAAAUUGUGAAAGUUAGUGUAUUUAAACCGAGUUUAUGGGAAAUUUGACAAAGAAAAACAGAGAUAGGAGAGCUGUAUAACCUAUUGCUUACAAUUGAUUUCCAAAUGUAUCUCUGAUGAAAAGAUAAGCUUAGGAUCCGCGAGGCUCCCGUGUGUUGGCGAGUGUGGUGUGAUAACAUUACUUGUUGUGAGAGUCUCCUUAACCCCGGCAGAGCUGAAAUGGAAGUGCGUCUGACCAGUCCCACUAGGGAGAAGCCAGAGAAGUAUCAGCGAAGGAUUAUGGGAGAUAUAGUCCAGAGCCAAAUGCAGGAACACUACAAAAAUGAACUGGUCAGAGCUGCACAGAGCGAUCCUGUUUUCCAGAAACCUACAGUGGUGCGGUCCAAUGAGGUGGAGGAGAGGGAGCGCUACAGAUUCCAGUGGAGGAAGGAGGACAGGCAAAGAAUCGUCGGUGACAGAUUGGAGCUCUUCGUCGCCAUAGUGACGGGGUUGUUGAUGGGGGUCCUGACAGGUGGUUUUGGGGGUGUUGUCAUGGGAGGGUUGACGGGGGCGGUGAUAUGGUUUACAACAGGACUGGUCAGGAACUGGUGGAGCCCCUGAUUCACUGGGAGGCACCAUGUGUAGGCUAUGAAUCUAUUUUUUAUAAAGACAUUGGGAGGAUAAAACUAUUCUAAUGUGUAUAGAUGGAAGGACUUUGGUGAUGGAUCAUGUUCCUUGAUGCAAUUAUCAAACUUUGGUUAUUCAAUAUUUGGAAAUUAAUAAAAGCCCAAUAAAUAAAUAAAAUAUACAGAGCUUAUAUUAAUUAUUUUAAAAGAUAGAUGAAACCCUAAUAUUCAUCAGCAGUGCUAGCCUACUUCUGUUAAGUCAGUCCUGAUAUGGGUCUGAACCUGUUAGUCAUCAAGGGAUUAAAAGAGAGAUUCAUCCAGCAAUAUCUUUCCCUGAUUUCAUCUGACCAAGUAUUCAGAAAUUGUCUGACGAGAGUUACAGGCCAGGCCACUGAAAGAAAGGCCUUCAUCCUACCCUGUACAAUCCUUAAAAAUAACAGUAACAAGAACUAAUGACUAGAUCACCAGAUACACAUGAUCAGAUAAUCAUUUAUGUGAACAAACAUAGUGAGCCCACUAGAACCCAGGUCCAGUGGCUAUCAACCCAUCACGGCCCGUAUCCACAAAGCAUCUCAGAGUAGGAGUACUGGUCUAGGAUCUGUCCAUAUAAUCUUAUUCAUUAUGAUCUAAAAGUCUAAACUGAUAUUAGGUCAGCACUCCUACGGGCCCUGGUCACUACUAAUCUCAACGAUGUUGUUAUUGUUGUCGGCGCAAUCUGUCAUGGAAUCAGUAAACCCUGCUCUCAUAUCUGUCAUGGAAUCAGUAAACCCUGCUCUCAUAUCUGUCAUGGAAUCAGUAAACCCUGCUCUCAUAUCUGUCAUGGAAUCAGUAAACCCUGCUCUCAUAUCUGUCAUGGAAUCAGUAAACCCUGCUCUCAUAUCUGUCAUGGAAUAAGUAAACACUGCUCUCAUAUAUGUCAUGGAAUCAGUAAACUCUGCCAAAAUACCAGCAACAGUGUGUGAAAACCUU